rnacentral:rRNA from 1 species
UGCCAGCCGCCGCGGUAAUACGAAGGGCGCUAGCGUCGUUCGGAAUUAUUGGGCGUAAAGCGCGUGUAGGCGGUUCGUUAAGUCUGAUGUGAAAGCCCGGGGCUCAACCCCGGAAGUACAUUGGAAACUGGCGAACUUGAGUACGGGAGAGGAAAGUGGAAUUCCGAGUGUAGGAGUGGAAUCCGUAGAUAUUCGGAGGAACACCAGUGGCGAAGGCGGCUUUCUGGACCAAUACUGACGCUGAGAUGCGAAAGCGUGGGGAGCGAACAGGAUUAGAUA